GGGGAAGGAGGAGGUAGCAGACGUCAAGGGAUUUCCAUUUCUCUUUCGAUGCCCACGUACUUGAGGGCGUCAGCCUGGCUGUAUCUGAAACGGCACGAGAAAGGCAUGAGCCGGCGUCCAGCCCAGACUACCCUGCCAGCCUGACGCUUGUGAGGUCCAGGGGGGCCGCGUGUCCUCCGCACCCUGACAGCAAGCACGACUUCCCACAGGAAGGACCCAGACGCCGACCAGGUAGGGGAUGAGCCAGCCAUGUCUUGGCCGUGAAAGUACUAAACGGGCAGGCUGUAGGAAGUACUUAAGCAGUUAAAGAGACUACGCUGCCGCCCGAACCCCAGUACGGCCUGGAAUCCGCGAGCUCGCUGCGCAGCCGGACGGGACCGCCGUCACCAGCGGGCUCAAACGCGGGCUGCCUGCGUUCCUUCCCCACACGGGCAGACCGCAUGGCGUUGCCUCGCAAAUACAUCCCCACCGACCCACCCACCGAGGGUCUGCGGCAGCCCUGCCUCCAGCGAGUCUGCUGGUUCCAUUUUUCCAACGGCAUUUGCUCACUUUGUGUUUCUAGGUGAGAUUUUGGUAAUUCUCACAGUAUUUCCAAUGUUUCCAUUAUUGUUACAUGUGCUACGGUGAUCUGUGAUCGGGGACCGUGGAUGUUACUACUGUGAUUGGGGUGCACGAACCGCAUCCACAGGGGCUGAUGGAGGUGACGGAGAAACGGCAUGUGCGUUUUGACUGCUCCACCGACCGGCUGUCACCCCCCUGCCUCCCUAGUCCCCGGUUAAUAACCCUACAGUGGCCUCUGGGUGCUCAAGUGAAGGAGGAGUCGCAGGUCUCCCUUUAAAUCAAAAACGAGAACCCAUGAAGCUCAGGGAGGAAGGCAUGUUGAAAAGCCAGAUACGCCGGAAGCUAGACCUCUUCCGCCAGUGAGCCAAGUCAUCAAUGCAAAGGAAAAGGUCUCGAAGGAAAUUAAAAGUGCUACUCCAGGGACGCCCAGCUGGGUCGGUUGCAAAAGCGUGUGACCCUUGGUCUUGGAGUCGUUAGCUGGAGCCCCACGUUGGGUGUAGAAGAUUGAUAAAAAAAAAAGUGCUACUUCGGUGAACACGAGAAUGCUAAGAAAGCGAAACAGCCUCACUGCUGGCCUGGGGACAGGGACAGUGGUCUGGACAGGAGACCACCCCGGCCACACAUCCCCUUACGCCCAAGCCCAAUCCAGAGCCAGGCCCGCACUCCCCUCCGCUCCGGGGCGGCCGAGAGGGGAGACGCGCACCGGGACACCUGACGCGGGCGGAGGCCGGCUCCGUAGCCAGGAGCGCGCGGAAGCGGCCAGUUUUCCAGAAGGUCGAGCUGAGCUGAGCGACGAAGGAGGCCGCGCGAAAGCCCGGAUGCUCCGCGCCGGCGGAGCGGCCCUCUCUCCGGAGAAGACCAGCCGGGCCCUCCCCAGCCGCCGAGGACAAGGCAGCGCCGGCGGCCCAGCUCCGCGGGACAGGCCGCCCUCUCGCGAGGGGCCAGCGCGGCCGGUGACCUGCCCUCGACGCCGGCGCUCGGGGCCCUUCUGAAAACCCUCGGGUGCCCAAGGACGAGGCUAAGCGCGCUCGGCCCGUGCGCUCGAGCCGAGGAGAAGAGGACGAGGAGCGCGGCCUGACGCGGGCACCGACGGGCCGCACGCUCGGGACAAACGGGACCGGCCGAGCACGGGGGUUCCCGAGUCCCCUCCCUGUCCGGGGGGACGAAGGACCCGGCGCGUGACAGCAGCUCGGCUGAUGCGGCGGCGGCGGGGCCCGAGAGCACCGACCCCCCUUCCGAAGGCAGCUGUCCUGGGGGGGAAAGGCGCCCGCCGCGGAGGGCGAGCCGUCGGUGCGGGGAACUGCACGGGUGUCCGGGGAACCCGCGCGGCCGCGCCGGCCUCCAGCGCCCAGCACCCGGGGGGGGGGGGGGGGGCGGGGGGGGGGACUCAGGGGCCGCCAGCGCCGCCCCCACCCUCCACCGGCAGGAAGAUUAGCAUUCACUUUACUGCAGUGGUCGGGCACCGAACCCGCAAUAUCCGAGCUCUGCCUGCCUUUCAAAAAUCACCAUUACUUGUGUGGUGGGAACUACGUUACCAAGAAAGUACACCUAAAUGCCCACCGCUGCCCCUGACAAAUAAUGACCAGGAGCAAAUCCCUCUAAGAAUAGAAGAUCCGACAAAGAGAGAAGAGACAGCCCUUGUCCACAGCUCAGACUUCAGGAAGAUAAAGCCCUCAGGUCACACCAGAAAUAUGCUCUUACCAACCUGUAAUCAAAAAACAGCUCUUCACCCGUCUGGAUGGCUCUCUUAGCAAAAAUCCCUAUCCUGUGAUCGCCGUUCACCAUCAUAACUGGAACGAGAAACACACUGGUGUGAGUCGCGUGAAGACAGGCCCCGGGAGCGCCCGACCCGCGCACACCAGCAUGUGUCCCAGGGCCACUCCAGUCCAGCACUGGUGUGCAAGAGCUUCUCUUGGGAAUCCUGGCUCCAUUAGCACCUACCUUUUGCAUAGCAGUUUGGAUUUACUGAAUGAUUUGCAAAACGGAUUUUGUUACCCUUGCGGGUUGCAUCCACCACAAAAUCUAAAGAGAGAGAAAAUAAGCAUCAUCAAGUGAACCGUUUCAGGCCUAGUUCUGCACACAUGAAGUCAUUACAGUUCCAGAGACGCUCCUGGCUCUCGUUCUUCAGGGCUUGCCUUUACAAAACACGGAAUCGAAAUGCCUAACUUCACAGCCUUCGAGAACACCCAGGGAAGUCCAGGAAAGGCUGCCCAAUUCAGCGCUCCAGCCCCUUCCCCGGUCAGUUGGGAGCACUCAUGACAGAGGCGGGGGCCAAGCGGACCCCAGGCCCAGGUCGUCGGCAGCAAACCCGCAGCAAGCUCCGAGCCGUCCGGUCCAGCCUGGUGGGCUUGCGAACACACAGCCCGUUCCGAAGCCUGUGGCAAGGCGUAAGGGAUCCCCGGCGCCCGUAAGGAUCUUUGAUGAAAAUCCCCCAGCCUGCCACAUCAGAUGGUGCCAGCAAUAAAUGCUAGAGAAGAAAGCGCACUCAAUCGCAUCGGCAAAGCGUGCUGACACGUUAACUGCAGGGUGACCCACUGUCCGGCCUCAGCCCCAUUCGAAAGCAGCCAUUCAACCAGACGCUGUCGGCAGGAGAGCCCUGAGCACCCUGACCGAGGGGCCAGCCUCCCAGGAGAAGGUGUGUCAACAUCAACAGUUUCUGAAGAGAGAGGAGUUUAAGGACAAGUAUGGGGUGAGGGAGAAAGGGGAUGGUGAGGACUGAGCGGGGGGGCCCCGGGGACUGUCCCAGCAUCACUAGGACGUGAGAACGAAAUUAACCUAGAAUAAGAAAACCACCUGACCCCUGAACCCAUCACAGCCAACACACAGCUGCUGCCAGGACCAGAGUUUCUGGUGGAGGGCACGACUGCCCCGCACGAGAUCCCAGUUGCGUCCUAUGAUGGCUCAGGAACCUAACAUGUGAAUGUUGUCCGUGUGUCCGUCGUCCACCUCCCCCCCAACCCAUGGGCAACACAGGCCAUGACCUCAGCAGCAGGGGGUUCAGGGCCAGAAGGCCUGGGCUGGGGUUCAUGGUUAUAGUUAGGAGGACUAGCAAGCGGACACACACAGCACUUAGAACAGGGCCUGCCCUGUAUGACAUCAUCCUUAGAUCUCUAACAGCUAACAUUUGAAGAAACCCUGGGUCUACCCUAAAAUCAGACCGUGAGCUUCCCCCAAACGAUGCUGGCAGGUUCUUCUGCUCGGUCAUCACCUUCUCGGGGCUCCAGUUACCGACCCCUGCCUGUACCUCGCAGGCCAUAGCUCCGUGGUGGUCCCGGCUGUGUCCUCAAGGUCAUUAAAGAAACGGAAAGAAGUGUGCAAAAACCGGGUCUCUGUGUUCUGACGGGCACACCAUGUCCUCACACGGAGACUAGAGAACGACUUCUACAUACUAGAAAAAUCCCUCUCCAGAACCUGGUGCCAUUUGGGGCUGGGUCACCUUACACGUAGCAAAUGGAAGACUGGCUAAGGGCCCGUAACGCCCCACCUCCCGCCGUCCCAUCAGGAAGCCCCGUGGCUUUCACUAAGGGCAGCGGCGCGCGGCCCCGGGGGGGGGGGGGGGUGGUAACCUUCUUUGAGCCGCGCUGGAUGCUGCAGUUCUUGCAGGACACGUUCUUGCUGUCCCAGUGGUCGGCGGCGCCGCACGUGAGGCACAGGUCGGGGUCGCACUCGCGCACGGCCAGGUAGCACGGACACUGCUUCGUGUUGCACUGAGCUUUGCAGCGGCAGCCGGGGAAGCGGUUCUGACCUUCGGAAGGACAUUCCUCGUCACGUGGAAACCCUGCGGAACCCUCACCGCCGGUCCCCACCGCGUCCCCCCACCCCCGCCCACCCAGACUGAGAGGAAACCCGUGGAGGGACAGGAAGUGAGAGCUGUCCCUUCUGAGAACGGUCACCACUGAGCUUCGGGCUUUCCCUUCGUAUUUGGUAGGUGGUACGUGUACUUCAGAGCUGUUUUAUUGAGCUGUUUUAUUUAGCCUGCCUUCACACCCAUUUUAUAAGAGCCAUGGUUCGUGACCCUUCUGAGGGUCCAGAGUUCUAGACGCUUCCUUGCUUUCCAAGCGGCCUGUGCUGUUUCGUUCAACGUCUCCAGUCACCGUUAGGCUGAAUUCUGAGCCCAGCGCACCGACCAUUUCCAGCAGCCAGAGGACCUGGGCAGCCAUUUCUAGAUGCCCUUUACUCUGUGCCAACUCUACUAUGAUUUAAUUUAAACAAUCCAAUUCCGCCUAACCUGCCCACAGACACACUGGCCACUAGCGCAGAGCCCGUUACGGCGCCCCAUAAAUCUUUGUAGGAUAAAUGCAUUUCCUAAAAUCUUGUUUGGCUUACUAGUUUAAACCGCUGACCAAAAGCCUGUGUAAUUCUCAUGCAAUUCAUCAAUUCAUCAAAACAAAAGAAAUACUUACACUCUGAACUACAUUGACAAAACUUUUCACAAAAAUUUUGUGCUAUCACACAAGGGCACGAACUGUCACAAGGCUGCCGUGGAUGGUCACAGGGCUGGUAGUUGUAAACGUGGUUGGAGGAGCCGUCUGCGUAAGGACAGAUCCAGAGGCGAUCAAACACAACGGCCAAGACUAUAUUCUCCCCGUUACACCUGGCAUGCGGCAGCUCUUCCGCGCUGUACUUGUUUACAGAGUGACGGCAGAUACUACCUCCCACCCCCACGUGCUUGGCGAGCCCCGAGCACUGUCCCCCCGAUCCCAGAGGACUGACUGGAAGUGAAUCAGCAGACAUCCUCCGUCUCCAGGGCUUUAAUGUACAGAAGUCAAUUAUAUCCGAAUAUCCCAAACACUAAUCCAAUUACUAUUCUUAAACGAGUAGACAAGUUAAUGAUGAAGUUGAACAGAGAGAUGCUAACCCUUUUUCAGCUGUAUCUUUCUGCAGUGGGCAGCCCACAACCUGCAAGACACAAGACGUAAGUCACGUUUGUGAAGCCAGGGGCAGAUCAACGGAAGCUACUCAGACGGGUCUGCGUGUGCCCCGAACCUGACAGCGCUCCGAAUCCAAGGACAGAUGACCCUUGAACAAUGUGGGGUUUGGGGUGCAAACAUCCCACACCAUCCAAAAUCUGCAUGUAAGUUCUGACUCUCCAAAAACUCAGCCUGUGGACCAAAAGCCUUACUGGUAACGGAUUGAUUAGUACAGAUUUUCUAUGUCAUCCAUAUUAUAUACUGUGUUCUUACAAUAAAGUAAGCUAGAGAGAAGAAAAUAUGGGGAAACUCUAUUUACAGGACCAGAAAACACAUGGAGGUGGCCCCAUGUCGUCUGAGGGUCAGCUGUCACCACGCAGGAGCACGGCCGCCUCCCCUCCGGCCCUGGCUUUCUGUGGCGGCCCACGUCUACCUGGGCUCAGCCUGCAAUCGUAUCGUUUCUCUAAUUUCAGGCAUCUGUAGCCAUUCCACGGAGCUGGAUGAUCAGAACUCGACCAAGAAACUCAGCUGCAUCUACUAAAGCCUAAAUUCCUAUGGCAAAAACUAGGUUCGCUCUUCCAGUUCUAAAUGAAGUCGGUCCCGCCUUUCCUAAAGGGAACGUGAGCAUGUGCGCGGUCGAAGUGUAGUCCUCUGCCCCUUACCCAACUAUGCUGCUCUCCCGAGACCAGGGGGGCAGGAGGAAAGAGCGGACCCGCACGGUUUCGGGCCCUGCACUUCCGAAGGCAGUCCGCCUGAAAAGCCUCCCUGCGCUCCUCCCUGGCACGAGCCUCUGUGGACGGUGACCUUCACCAGGCCGCAAGCACCCCCGCACACGGACACCAGUCAGGCUGCUAGACUAAAGCCGGCUCCGCGCCGUCAGCCGUCGAGAUUCCGGCCCAGGGCCACAUCCUCGGUCCAUCUCCGAGCAGGGGAGCCUUUCCUGCAGAAGCCACUAACUAGGUUUCCUUAAUGAAAACGCAGCACUGGUGCCCGUCACUUUGAAGACGCCCCCCACACCCCGAGUCGACUGCACGCUGCUGUGCUCUUAAGAGGAAGCUGAGCGAGCACCUACGCCGACCCGACCCCGCCGCAGAAGCGCCCCGGUGACCCUCGGCCGGCCGCACACAGGCUUACCGGUGUUUCCUCUUCUUCUUCCUCGGCGGGGUGUCCACAUCCUCGGCCGGGGCCGGAGCUAUGAUACUCGAUUCUUUGACGCGAAACUCAUACACCUGACAAGAGGCAGAGUCACAGGGCCCUGAGCGCCGUGCGUGAGACUCGCCCGCACCAGACACCUCUCCGGCUCGGCGCAGGCGCUGCCACGGGCCGAGGACACAGCGGGAAGCGCACGCUGACCCGACCCUCGUGCGGGGAGAGCGGCCGCCACCACGCUCUGGAUAAGAGGCGCAAGGCUAGCCUCCAGUCUUCCUGGCUUGGUAGAUCCACUCCCCGAAAUACCUCAAGUCGGAAGGAUCGUU